AAUAGCUCACUAGUCGAGUCGGCCUGCGCGGAAGAUGUAACGGGGCUCAAACUGGUCACCGAAGCUGCGGCUGUACACGCAAGUGUACGGGGUAGGGGAGCGUUCUGUAAGCCUGCGAAGGUGUGUCGAGAGGCAUGCUGGAGGUAUCAGAAGUGCGAAUGCUGACAUGAGUAACGACAAUGCGGGUGAAAAACCCGCACGCCGGAAGACCAAGGGUUCCUGCGCAACGCUAAUCGGCGCAGGGUGAGUCGGCCCCUAAGGCGAGACCGAAAGGUGUAGUCGAUGGGAAACGGGUUAAUAUUCCCGUACCUUGGAUAGCUGCGAUGGAGAGACGGAGAAGGCUAGGUGAGCCGGGCGACGGUUGUCCCGGUUUAAGCGAGUAGGGAGUGGACUUAGGCAAAUCCGGGUCCACAAUCCUGAGACGUGACGACGAGUGUCCUCGGACACGAAGUCAUUGAUGCCCUGCUUCCAGGAAAAUCUUCUAAGCUUCAGGCUAUUCGAGACCGUACCCCAAACCGACACAGGUGGUCAGGUAGAGAAUACCAAGGCGCUUGAGAGAACUCGGGUAAAGGAACUAGGCAAAAUGGUGCCGUAACUUCGGGAGAAGGCACGCCGGUGUGUACGUGAAGUCCCUGCGGAUGGAGCGGAAGCCGGUCGAAGAUACCAGGCCCCUGCGACUGUUUAUUAAAAACACAGCACUCUGCAAACACGAAAGUGGACGUAUAGGGUGUGACGCCUGCCCGGUGCCGGAAGGUUAAUUGAUGGGGUUAGCUUCGGCGAAGCUCUUGAUCGAAGCCCCGGUAAACGGCGGCCGUAACUAUAACGGUCCUAAGGUAGCGAAAUUCCUUGUCGGGUAAGUUCCGACCUGCACGAAUGGCGUAACGAUGGGGGCGCUGUCUCUACCCGAGACUCAGUGAAAUUGAAAUCGCCGUGAAGAUGCGGUGUAUCCGCGGCUAGACGGAAAGACCCCGUGAACCUUUACUAUAGCUUCACAGUGAACUUUGAGCAUGCUUGUGUAGGAUAGCUGGGAGGCUUUGAAGCGGGAACGCCAGUUCUCGUGGAGCCAACCUUGAAAUACCAGCCUGGCAUGUUUGAGGUUCUAACUUGGUCCCCUGAUCGGGGAUGAGGACACUGUGUGGUGGGUAGUUUGACUGGGGCGGUCUCCUCCCAAAGCGUAACGGAGGAGCACAAAGGUGGGCUAAGCACGGUCGGACAUCGUGCGGUUAGUGUAAUGGCACAAGCCCGCUUGACUGCGAGACAGACACGUCGAGCAGGUACGAAAGUAGGUCAUAGUGAUCCGGUGGUUCUGUAUGGAAGGGCCAUCGCUCAACGGAUAAAAGGUACUCCGGGGAUAACAGGCUGAUACCGCCCAAGAGUUCACAUCGACGGCGGUGUUUGGCACCUCGAUGUCGGCUCAUCACAUCCUGGGGCUGAAGCCGGUCCCAAGGGUAUGGCUGUUCGCCAUUUAAAGUGGUACGCGAGCUGGGUUUAGAACGUCGUGAGACAGUUCGGUCCCUAUCUGCCGUGGACGUUGGAGAUUUGAGGAAAGCUGCUCCUAGUACGAGAGGACCGGAGUGGACGAACCUCUGGUGUUCGGGUUGUCACGCCAGUGGCAUUGCCCGGUAGCUAUGUUCGGACAGGAUAACCGCUGAAAGCAUCUAAGCGGGAAGCCCCUUCCAAGAUGAGAUCUCCCUGGACCUUCGAGGUCCCUGAAGAGCCGUUCAAGACCAGGACGUUGAUAGGUCGGGUGUGUAAGCGCUGCGAGGCGUUGAGCUAACCGAUACUAAUUGCUCGUGCGGCUUGACUAUAUAACACCCAAG
rnacentral:rRNA from 1 species